GUGGGAUGGCAGAUGAGGAGGAAGACUCCGCUUUUGAGGAGGAAAAUGAAGAAAUUGGAGGAGGUGCAGAAGGUGGACAGGGUAAAAGAAAGAGACUUUUUUCUAAAGAAUUGAGAUGUAUGAUGUAUGGUUUUGGACAUGACCAGAAUCCUUAUACUGAGUCAAUAGAUAUUCUUGAAGACCUUGUCAUAGAAUUCAUUACUGAAAUGACUCACAAGGCAAUGUCAAUUGGAAGACAAGGUCGAGUACAAGUUGAAGAUAUCGUCUUCUUGAUUCGAAAGGACCCCAGGAAGUUUGCUAGGGUUAAAGACUUGCUUACUAUGAAUGAAGAAUUGAAACGGGUUAGAAAAGCAUUUGAUGAAGCAAACUAUGGAUCUUGACAUCUUUUGUAGUUU